GACGAACGCUGGCGGCGUGCUUAACACAUGCAAGUCGAACGGAAAGGCCCUGCUUUUGUGGGGUGCUCGAGUGGCGAACGGGUGAGUAACACGUGAGUAACCUGCCCUUGACUUUGGGAUAACUUCAGGAAACUGGGGCUAAUACCGGAUAGGAGCUCCUGCUGCAUGGUGGGGGUUGGAAAGGUUCGGCGGUUGGGGAUGGACUCGCGGCUUAUCAGCUUGUUGGUGGGGUAGUGGCUUACCAAGGCUUUGACGGGUAGCCGGCCUGAGAGGUUGACCGGCCACAUUGGGACUGAGAUACGGCCCAGACUCCUACGGGAGGCAGCAGUGGGGAAUAUUGCACAAUGGGCGGAAGCCUGAUGCAGCAACGCCGCGUGCGGGAUGACGGCCUUCGGGUUGUAAACCGCUUUCGCCUGUGACGAAGCGUGAGUGACGGUAAUGGGUAAAGAAGCACCGGCUAACUACGUG
rnacentral:rRNA from 1 species